CACGAUUUUCUAGCAUAGGAAUUUGCCAAAAAAUAGAUGAAAUCAUACCAUAUUGAUUUAUAAAAACAAAAAAGAACACUAGAAUGUAAACAUUUUCAUUUCAAACAUGUGGAAUAGCUAACAAUGAUCCGAUUAUUAACUCGCUUUUAUUAAACAAAAAUAUCCACAAUACCUUAGAACACGAAACAAAACAGGAAAACUAGAGAAUAGAGGCAACAAAAAAAAUAAUACAAGGAUUCGAACCUAAAC
rnacentral:lncRNA from 1 species